UACAGAGGGUGCGAGCGUUAAUCGGAAUUACUGGGCGUAAAGCGUGCGUAGACGGUCAUGUAAGUCGGAUGUGAAAGCCCCGGGCUCAACCUGGGAAUUGCAUUCGAGACUGCAAGGCUUGGGUGCGGAAGAGGGAAGCGGAAUUUCCGGUGUAGCGGUGAAAUGCGUAGAUGUCGGAAGGAACACCAGUGGCGAAAGCGGCUUCCUGGUCCGACACCGACGUUCAGGCACGAAAGCGUGGGGAGCAAACAGG
rnacentral:rRNA from 1 species